rnacentral:rRNA from 1 species
UACGUAGGGUGCAAGCGUUGUCCGGAAUUAUUGGGCGUAAAGAGCUCGUAGGCGGUUUGUUGCGUCGGCUGUGAAAACCCGGGCUCAACCCGGGCCUGCAGCCGAUACGGGCAGACUAGAGUUCGGCAGGGGAGACUGGAAUUCCUGGUGUAGCGGUGAAAUGCGCAGAUAUCAGGAGAACACCGUGGCGAAGGCGGUCUCUGGGAC